UACGUAGGUGGCAAGCGUUGUCCGGAUUUACUGGGCGUAAAGAGCGCGCAGGCGGUCGAUCAAGUCGCGUGUGAAAGCCCCCGGCUCAACUGGGGAGGGUCACGCGAUACUGAUCGACUGGAAGGCAGGAGAGGGUAGUGGAAUUCCCGGUGUAGUGGUGAAAUGCGUAGAUAUCGGGAGGAACACCAGUGGCGAAGGCGACUACCUGGCCUGUUUCUUGACGCUGAGGCGCGAAAGCUAGGGGAGCAAACGGG
rnacentral:rRNA from 1 species